UACAGAGGGUGCGAGCGUUAAUCGGAAUUACUGGGCGUAAAGCGUGCGCAGGCGGUUUUGUAAGCCAGAUGUGAAAUCCCCGGGCUUAACCUGGGAAUGGCAUUUGGGACUGCAAGGCUUGAGUGCGGCAGAGGAGACUGGAAUUCCUGGUGUAGCAGUGAAAUGCGUAGAUAUCAGGAGGAACACCGGUGGCGAAGGCGGGUCUCUGGGCCGAUACUGACGCUGAGGAGCGAAAGCGUGGGGAGCGAACAGG
rnacentral:rRNA from 1 species